rnacentral:rRNA from 1 species
AACGAACGCUGGCGGCAUGCCUAACACAUGCAAGUCGAACGAGACCUUCGGGUCUAGUGGCGCACGGGUGCGUAACGCGUGGGAACCUGCCCUUAGGUUCGGAAUAACUACCCGAAAGGGGUGCCAAUACCGGAUAAUGUCUUCGGACCAAAGAUUUAUCGCCUUUGGAUGGGCCCGCGUUGGAUUAGCUAGUUGGUAGGGUAAAAGCCUACCAAGGCGACGAUCCAUAGCUGGUCUGAGAGGAUGAUCAGCCACACUGGGACUGAGACACGGCCCAGACUCCUACGGGAGGCAGCAGUGGGGAAUAUUGGACAAUGGGCGAAAGCCUGAUCCAGCAAUGCCGCGUGAGUGAUGAAGGCCUUAGGGUUGUAAAGCUCUUUUACCCGGGAUGAUAAUGACAGUACCGGGAGAAUAAGCUCCGGCUAACUCCGUG